GUCGAACGGUAAGGCCCUUCGGGGUACACGAGUGGCGAACGGGUGAGUAACACGUGGGUAAUCUGCCCUGCACAUCGGGAUAAGCCUGGGAAACUGGGUCUAAUACCGAAUAGGACCACAGAACACAUGUCCUGUGGUGGAAAGCUUUUGCGGUGUGGGAUGGGCCCGCGGCCUAUCAGCUUGUUGGUGGGGUGAUGGCCCACCAAGGCGACGACGGGUAGCCGGCCUGAGAGGGUGUCCGGCCACACUGGGACUGAGAUACGGCCCAGACUCCUACGGGAGGCAGCAGUGGGGAAUAUUGCACAAUGGGCGAAAGCCUGAUGCAGCGACGCCGCGUGGGGGAUGACGGCCUUCGGGUUGUAAACCUCUUUCACCAUCGACGAAGGUUCGGGUUUUCUCGGAUUGACGGUAGGUGGAGAAGAAGCACCGGCCAACUACGUGCCAGCAGCCGCGGUAAUACGUAGGGUGCGAGCGUUGUCCGGAAUUACUGGGCGUAAAGAGCUCGUAGGUGGUUUGUCGCGUUGUUCGUGAAAUCUCACGGCUUAACUGUGAGCGUGCGGGCGAUACGGGCAGACUUGAGUACUGCAGGGGAGACUGGAAUUCCUGGUGUAGCGGUGGAAUGCGCAGAUAUCAGGAGGAACACCGGUGGCGAAGGCGGGUCUCUGGGCAGUAACUGACGCUGAGGAGCGAAAGCGUGGGGAGCGAACAGGAUUAGAUACCCUGGUAGUCCACGCCGUAAACGGUGGGUACUAGGUGUGGGUUUCCUUCCUUGGGAUCCGUGCCGUAGCUAACGCAUUAAGUACCCCGCCUGGGGAGUACGGCCGCAAGGCUAAAACUCAAAGAAAUUGACGGGGGCCCGCACAAGCGGCGGAGCAUGUGGAUUAAUUCGAUGCAACGCGAAGAACCUUACCUGGGUUUGACAUGCACAGGACGCCGGCAGAGAUGUCGGUUCCCUUGUGGCCUGUGUGCAGGUGGUGCAUGGCUGUCGUCAGCUCGUGUCGUGAGAUGUUGGGUUAAGUCCCGCAACGAGCGCAACCCUUGUCUCAUGUUGCCAGCGGGUAAUGCCGGGGACUCGUGAGAGACUGCCGGGGUCAACUCGGAGGAAGGUGGGGAUGACGUCAAGUCAUCAUGCCCCUUAUGUCCAGGGCUUCACACAUGCUACAAUGGCCGGUACAAAGGGCUGCGAUGCCGCGAGGUUAAGCGAAUCCUUUUAAAGCCGGUCUCAGUUCGGAUCGGGGUCUGCAACUCGACCCCGUGAAGUCGGAGUCGCUAGUAAUCGCAGAUCAGCAACGCUGCGGUGAAUACGUUCCCGGGCCUUGUACACACCGCCCGUCACGUCAUGAAAGUCGGUAACACCCGAAGCCAGUGGCCUAACCCUUUGGGAGGGAG
rnacentral:rRNA from 1 species